rnacentral:lncRNA from 1 species
GGGGCACUGAUACACAUGAUAGCUCAAGCACGUCUGGUUUGACUGAUCAAACAGCAACCACAAUGAAAUCCUCUGUUUCUGGUGCUGAUCUUUACCCAUUAUACCCGGAAUCCAUGAUCUUAAACUCAGAGCCGUGCGAGCAUUAAAACCAUACGUAAGCGAGAGAAAAAAAUAUACCUUCAUUCAUCAAAAUGUCUUAUAAAGAGUUCAUUCAAAAAAAAACACUGCAUAAUAAUUCUAAAACAUAAUUUGUCUUCCUUUCUUCUCCAAGAACUCAUUGACUAAACUUUCAAAAUCAAUGUUCCUUAAGAGUUCUCUCUCUAUAGAUAAGAUAGCCAAAUCACUCAAUCUUUCUUGUGACAUAGUCGAACGAAGAUAAGAUUUUAUUAGCUUCAACUUCGAAAAGCUCCUCUCAGCAGAUGCAACCGAAACAGGGAUGGUCAACAAUAUUCGAUAAGCAAUCCAUGAGUUCGGAUAAAAAUCAUGAACACUUUGCAAAAAGUCUAGCACUUCAGUAGGCUUCUUAACUCCUUCUGGUAAAGCUUCUCUUACAAUUUUAAGUUCAGCAAAAAGAUCACUACCAACAAUAUCUGAAUGAUCACCAUGAGUUAGAGAAUCUUCAAGAUUGGCACAGGAAACCAUCAAACUAUCAUCACUUGCUGACUGCAGUUUCUUCAAAUCAAACAAAAAUCCAAAUAUUUUUUCAUACUUCUCGAAUUGUUCAAAUCUUGUUCCAAGCGAGUAGAGAGCUUGGUCCAUGAUCUGAAUGAAGUAAUCAACUCUAAAUUUCUCUUCGGGUGAUAAUGUCACACUCCCCUCUACAUUCUCUGAACUCUCGCCAUAUUGUAUUUUUCUUUUGAUUACCCGCUUUCCUUGCUUGGGGAACACAGCCUCAAUCUCCAUAGACUCUGCAAGUAUUUUUGCCUCUGAUUUUGCUUUCUCAAAACCUGAAUCUCUAUAUUUUUGAAGAUAAGAAACCAGCCCCUUAAGUUGAGCAAUAGCAACAUCAAUAUCCAUGUCUUCUGACUGCAAACUCUUACUCACAAUGUUGACAACAGAUAAAAGAUUGUACCAAAUAACCAGGGAAACCAAGAACUCAAAACUUCCAAUUCCAUGUGUUUCACUUGUUGCAAGACAUUCAGCUUCGCUCUGCUCUUGUGGAUCAACACUAUUUUCAGCAAUGUAAACUAAAGCGUUCAUGAUUUUAGGAGCUUGAAACCGUAUCGCCUUAACACUUUCAGCAUGGCUCUCCCAACGAGUAUUCGACAAAGACUUAAGUGUUAGACCAUCUACAUGAUCUUCAAAGAUUUUCCAGCGCUUAGUUGAACCUGAAAAAAAUUUAUAAGUACGCUGGAUGAUUCCAAAAAACGAGAUCCCCUUUGAAGAAGUCCUUGCCAUAUCACAUAGUGCAAGAUUCAAACUAUGACAACUACAUGGUGUAUAAAACGCUCUGGGAUUAAUCUCAAGAAAUCUUUUUUGUACUCCUUUAUGCUUUCCCUUCAUAUUAGAGCCAUUGUCAUAACCUUGUCCUCUCACAUCAUCAAUUUUCAAAUCAAAAGCAACCAAUACAUCUUGCAGCUCACGAAAAAGCCCUUCUCCAGAUGUAUCAUCAACUUUCAGAAACGUUAAAAAAAAUUCUUCAACCUUAACUGAAGCUGUGGACACAUCUACACACCGUAUGACAACAGUCAUUUGUUCAUGAUGACUGAUAUCUGGAGUGCAGUCAAGAAUAACAGAGAAAAAUUUUGCACUUUGAAUUUUCUUGAUGAUCAUACCUUUGAUCUCAUUGCCCAACAAUGCUAUUAACUCAUUCUGAAUUCUGCCACUGAGAUAAUGAGUACGAGAUUCACGUUCUUUAAAUCUCCUAAGAUGUUCGAUCAUCACAGGAUCAAAAUCAGCAAUCAUCUCGAUAAAGCUUAAGAAGUUCCCACAACCUUCUUCUCCAAUCUUUUCGUUGCUUCCACGAAAUGCUAAAUUUUGUUUAGCAAGAGUUUUCACUACAGAAAUUAUCCUAAGCAACACUUGUCUCCAAUGGAUUUUUUCUUUGUUGAUUUCAUCUUGAGCAUAUUUGUCAAUGGUCUGAUUCUUUUGCAGCCUGAGAUCUAGUUCUGCCCACUGCUUCAUACAUAAUAUAUGUUCACGACCAGAUUCAUGUUCUUUAAGCCUUUUCAAUACAUUUCUCCAAUCAUUGAACCCCACAGAUGCCAAUUGACUACUGUCACUCUUAUUGAACAAUUUGCAGCAGAAACAAAAGAUCUUGUUUAGUUUCUUUGAAUAAAGUAGCCAACGUCGAUCUUGUUUUUUUCCAUCACCCAAUUGUCUUGUAUAAUGCAAAUGAGAAAAAUGUCUCUUAACACCAUCCUUGGGAAAGUUGUAAUCUAUUGGCAAUCUUUUCGCAGGACCUUGUACAACCAUAAAAUCUCUCCACUCAGUCCAUCCUUUUUUUAUGUUGUCCCAAUUUCCAGGAUCAUACAUAUCUAUGUAUCCACAAGGCUUCUCGAGAUUACCACUCUUUUCACUUCCAUUCUUAUCCCCAUCAUCUUUUUCUUUCAACUCUUCCUCAUUCACAACAUUCAUAUUCUCUGGCUCAGGACUCGGUUCUUCUCCAUGAUCCUCACUUAUAUUUUCAUCUACUUUAUCUUCUCUAGACGUAGGAUGUUGUUCUUGUUCAUCAUUAUUCUCUACAAAGGUAUCAAGAGUUUCAGAUUUUUUGAAAUACCUUAAUAAACCAUUCUUUUGAGAUUUUGCUUCCUCAUCUUUUUUGUUCUUCUUUUUUCUGUUGUCUGCUCCACACGGUUGAUGUCUUUUGUUCGAUGACAUCGUUCUAUCAACAUAUAAAAUUUUGAUUGUUAUUAACUGUUUCAGAAAAUAGAUGAAAGUAGAUAACAAUAGGUAGUACUUUUACCUUAGUUUGAAUUGUAAGAGAGAAAGUGAGAUAAAGCUACUUUGUUAAUAAAUCUUAAACUUCAAAAAUCAGAACUGAAGAUUUGUGUGUGAGAAAUUUGUGUGUGAGAAGAAGACGUGAGCAGAGCUGCAGAAGUCAGAAGAGAUAGAAGAUGUCGUGAAGUUGGAUUUUUAACCUAAUUUUUGUAAAAUUACAUGAAUCAAUUUUUUUAAGUAAAUUUAACUUUAAUUAGUAAACUAUUAAUGUAUUAAUGAAUAUAUUUAUGUGUUGUGGCCCAUAUUUAGUCUCCUGAUAAUAUUAUAGUUUAAAACUCAAACCCAUAUAAAAUAUAUAUUAGUACUUAUGAUUGGUAAUAUUUAACUAAACAUAUGCUAUUAAGUGUUUUUAAAAAAAAUGAUGCCCUAAGCCAAUGUUUCUUUUGGUCUCAAGGUCGCACGGCUCUGCUUAAACUCCACAGUAGACUUUUCUUCCCCGUCACUCUAACAUCAAAAGCUGUGUGUGCAUUGCCUUGUAUCUGAUGAAGAGACGAAAGGCUUGUAAGUUGUCUUAUACAUUUACAUGUAUCUCUAAGAAUGUUUACCAAAACCGGAUUAUACCUUAUUUAUGAAAGUCUCUAGUGGUCGCUGAACAAAACUCUCUUUCUUCUCCCUUUGGUUGAACAAUUUUC